GCCGGUUCAUCAGAAGCCACCGGGGCACACAGCCCAGAAAGGCCACCCGCACCCAGUGGGGCAUCGUGUGGGUGCUGGGGGAGCGGUGGUGGACGUUGAGGACAAAGACCGUGAUGACGAUGGAGAGCGUGACGAAGAUCAUGGUGAAGAGCAGGUGCCCGUGGCCUUGAUGAUGGCCCACUCGCCGCUCUCCCAGUAGUCCUUCAGGUCCACCGUCGGCUCCAUCUGCUCCAGGUCGAUCUUGGCCUUGUCGUAGGUCCAGGAGCCAAACUUCAUCUUGCAGUUCUGCUGGUCGAAGGGGAAGAAGGUAACGUCGAUGCUGCAGGAGCUCUUGUAGAUGGCGGGGGGCACCCAGUGCACGGUGCCCGUGGAGAAGAGCAGAUGGUGAGCAAGGCCCUCAUCUAGGGUCACGUCUUUUCCACCCGGGAUCCUUAGUUCCUGGCUCAGAAGAGACCUAACACCUUUGCUGGUGCUGGAAGAUACCUCCUUGGCCCCGUCCAUGUACUGGGCAUUUCUGCACUCAGCCCCAACCGCUAGGCCCUUUAGAGGAGCUGUGGGGGAUGGAAUGUGACAUAGGCCUGCCCUUAAGGAACCGUGAGGAACCACAAGGAAAUGCGAUGCAGCCCUAAACACCUAUAACACAAGGGAGGUGGUUUGGCAACAGCAUCACAGGGGUAGCCCACUGGGGGUGGGCGGGGAGGAUGGGCCUCCCUUCUGGCUGGAGUGAGCAGGUUCACCCUGAAGGUUGCCAGUAGGAUUGGUGGAGAGUUGGGGUGGAGAGCAUACUAGCGGAAUAAAGGUGGGGAACAAGGAACAGAGGAAGGGAAGGACAAAACUCACAGUGUGUGCUCAGGCUGGGGGGGCAGGGCAUAAGAAAGGGUGGUGGGAAAUGACCCCUGUGGCAUCAUGGGGCUAGGCAUCCAAGGGCCCACCAGGGCUCUGGGAACAGUGGAGGAACAGUGACCAUUUGCUGGGGCUUCCUGAGAGCCUGAGUCCCUGACUCCUCUGGGGGGAUGGUGCUGUGGGCUCUGUGCCCUGGUGUUCAAGGAGCCUUCCUUCUCCCUCCAAUUCCUUAAAGUCAAGGGAACCAGAAGAAUACACAGGAAGACAGACUUCUUUCCUAUGGAGAAAUCCCAGGCUAGGGAUUGGAAAACGGGAGACUUAGAAGGUUGGAAACAGGAACUUUGAUAAACAAUAACGACCAGAUCAGUCCGAAGUUUAACUUUUUUUUAAAGGCAUUUUUGUCACCACACAGAACUACCACUAGAUGGCAACAUGUGCCCCAUUUGGAGGAAGGAAAGGCGCAAUUUCCUCCAUCCUCCUGUUUCACCUGGAGUGGAAUGUCUGGCUAGAGGAGACCCUUCUUUAAAUGUCUGCAAGAAUCUGGUUUGGACUUUCGUCCUAUCCAAAGAAUUUCCUGUUAUUAUCAAGGACCACUGGUUGGAGCUUUAUUGACGAUCCCAAACUUCAGGUCAUAUCUGAUGCUAGGACCUUUCGCCUGACUUUUCUGCCAGGUGCAAAGGGAGCAGUAACUAGAAGGAUCUUGAGUGCUGGCUCCGGGGCAUAAAGAUAUGGAGGAAGGGGCCCAUGAGUCCAGUGACAGCCGCCAACACCAGGCACCUGCAGUUAGACCUUGCGGUAAUCUGUGCUGAAUGUGUGUUUAUGGACAUGGCUCAGGGACAAGGGCUUUGGGUCUGACCAGGACGGGGUGGUAUAAAGGAGUCAUUUGUCAUGACUUUCUCUGAAGACACCAAAACUCAAAAAUG